UGGCUUGGCUGUGGGGAUUUGGAAAGAGGAGGAGAUAUUUGCUUCUAGAGAAAAGGUUAAGACGGAUGCCAUUUUCCGCCCCUUAAUAGAUGAAGAGCUAAGGAAGAAGAGGACGGAUUCUUGGUUCAAAGCCGUGGAAAGGACUUUUAGCUUGGCUGAUCUUUCAAUAUGAAAAACUUCAUGGUGGUGCUGCUGUAUGCCCCUUUUCUUUCCCCUUGACUUUCCAUUUAAAUGACUAAGAUAAAUCCUUAAUAGGUAAAUUGUUAAUUCUUAUGUUAAUAUUGACGUGGAUUCUGAAAUAAUAAAUUUGAUUAGCCAGUUGUUUUACCUGCUGAUAUUCUGCACAUCUUCAAUCUUAUGCAUUAUUUACUAAAUUAGAAAUCACAUGUUAAUGUGUUGUCCCUCUUGGUAAAUUUAAUGUAUUGAAACUUUCUGUUUUGUUAAUGCUUGGCCACCAAAGAUUUUUUCCGCCAGCUCUCUGCCUCUUGGCUUAUGAUCACGGGAGAUUUUCGGUUCUGAAUCCUUGAUUGUCGCUGAUUCAGAAGGUGAACAAAG
rnacentral:lncRNA from 1 species